rnacentral:rRNA from 2 species
UUUAAAGAGAGUUUGAUCCUGGCUCAGGACGAACGCUGGCGGCGUGCCUAAUACAUGCAAGUCGAACGAACGGAGGAAGAGCUUGCUCUUCCAAAGUUAGUGGCGGACGGGUGAGUAACACGUGGGCAACCUGCCUGUAAGUUGGGGAUAACUCCGGGAAACCGGGGCUAAU